UGGACAUGAUGUGAAGUCGACCUCCUGACAUCAUAUUCUGGAGGGAAAAACUGAUUUAAUGAGUCUGAUUC